rnacentral:rRNA from 1 species
GAGCACUCCUACGGGAGGCAGCAGUGGGGAAUAUUGCACAAUGGGCGCAAGCCUGAUGCAGCCAUGCCGCGUGUAUGAAGAAGGCCUUCGGGUUGUAAAGUACUUUCAGCAGUGAGGAAGGUGGGUAUGUUAAUAGCAUACUCAUUUGACGUUAGCUGCAGAAGAAGCACCGGCUAACUCCGUGCCAGCAGCCGCGGUAAUACGGAGGGUGCGAGCGUUAAUCGGAAUUACUGGGCGUAAAGCGCAUGCAGGUGGUUUGUUAAGUCAGAUGUGAAAGCCCGGGGCUCAACCUCGGAAUUGCAUUUGAAACUGGCAAACUAGAGUACUGUAGAGGGGGUAGAAUUUCAGGUGUAGCGGUGAAAUGCGUAGAGAUCUGAAGGAAUACCGGUGGCGAAGGCGGCCCCCUGGACAGAUACUGACACUCAGAUGCGAAAGCGUGGGGAGCAAACAGGAUUACAUACCCUGGUAG